rnacentral:rRNA from 1 species
GACGAACGCUGGCGGCGUGCCUAACACAUGCAAGUCGAACGGAGUGUUUAUUUAUAAACACUUAGUGGCGAACGGGUGAGUAACGCGUAGACAACCUACCCUCUAGAUGGGGACAACACCGCGAAAGUGGUGCUAAUACCGAAUGUUGUAAUGUUAUUGCAUAAUGAUAUUACUAAAGGUGGCCUCUAUAUAAAAGCUACCGCUAGAAGAUGGGUCUUCGUCUGAUUAGCUAGUUGGUGAGAUAACAGCUCACCAAGGCAAUGAUCAGUAGCCGGUCUGAGAGGAUGAACGGCCACACUGGGACUGAGACACGGCCCAGACUCCUACGGGAGGCAGCAGUGGGGAAUCUUCCGCAAUGGACGAAAGUCUGACGGAGCAACGCCGCGUGAGUGAAGAAGGUUUUCGGAUCGUAAAGCUCUGUCUUCAAGGACGAAUGUAGAUAUUGUGAAUAAUGAUAUUUAAUGACGGUACUUGAGGAGGAAGCCACGGCUAACUACGUGCCAGCAGCCGCAGUAA